GACAGAGGUGCCAAGCGUUAGGCGGAAUCACUGGGCUUAAAGCGUGUGUAGGCGGAUCGUUAAGUACCUUGUGAAAUCCCACGGUUCAACCGUGGAACUGCUGGGUAUACUGGCGAUCUUGAGCCACCUAGGGGCGAGCGGAACAAACGGUGGAGCGGUGAAAUGCGUAGAUAUCAGGAGGAACACCGGUGGCGAAGGCGGGUCUCUGGGCAGUAACUGACGCUGAGGAGCGAAAGCGUGGGGAGCGAACAGG
rnacentral:rRNA from 1 species